rnacentral:tRNA from 1 species
GGGCGAGUGGUGGAAUGGUAUACACGCAGCACUUAAAAUGCUGUGACCUUACGGUUGUGAGGGUUCGACUCCCUCCUCGCCCA